UUCAUACUCCCUCCGUCCAACAAAAAAUGUGUCUCAAGUUUGUCGAAAUUUGAAUGUAUCUAGACAUGACUUAGCGUAUAAAUGUAUUCAAAUUUAGUCAAAGUUGAGACAUGCAUCUUUUUUGUUGCACGAAGGAAGUAUAUA
rnacentral:pre_miRNA from 1 species